rnacentral:misc_RNA from 1 species
GAUGAAGAACGUAGCGAAAUGCGAUAAGUAAUGUGAAUUGCAGAAUUCAGUGAAUCAUCGAAUCUUUGAACGCACAUUGCGCCCCUUGGUAUUCCGAGGGGCAUGCCUGUUCGAGCGUCAUUAUAACCCCUCAAGCUCAGCUUGGUGUUGGGGCCUGCUGCACUGGCAGCCCUUAAAAUCAGUGGCGGCGCCAUCUGGCUCUCAGCGUAGUAAUUCUUCUCGCUAUGGAGUCCUGGUGGAUGCUUGCCAUCAACCCCCAAUUUUUCUAUGGUUGACCUCGGAUCAGGUAGGGAUACCCGCUGAACUUAAGCAUAUCAAUAAGCGGAGGA